ACCAACCAAGACUAAGAGAGAAAUAAACCGCAUUGCUUCUAACCUUGGGUCACGAUUUCAAAAAAUUUCUCACCCCAGACCUACCCGAAUGGUAUGGGAAAUAUUGUCCCCGUCUUGCAAUGAGUCAUUUUUAAUACAACUCCGAAUUGCCUAUUCACCAUUUUACCUUCAUGUUGCUGCUUCUCUCAAAUCAUCUUGUUACUAACACCAUGUCUUAAUUUAUCUAAAACAUGCCAAAUGCCUUUUCUAAUUGCGCUCUUU
rnacentral:lncRNA from 1 species